UUGAGACAGCUCAUUCAAGCAACUUAAUAGCUCACUUAAAAACCCUAGAAAUAAAGAACCAGACACACCAAAAAGGAGUAGAUGUAUGGAAAUAAUCAAACUCAGGGCUGAAAUCAAUCAAUUAGAAACAAAUAAAACAAUUCAAAGAAUCAAUUAAACCAAGAGCUGGUUCUUUGAGAAAAUCAAUAAGACAGACAAACCAUUAGCCAAGCUAACUAAAAGUCAGAGAGACACCAUCCAAAUCCACAAAAUCAAAAAUGAAAAGAGGGACAAAGCUGCAGACACUGAGGAAAUCCAAACAAUCAUAAGUACUUACUUCAAAAGUCUGUAUAUCACAAAAUUUGAAAAUCUAAAUGAAAUGAACAAUUUUCUUGAUCGAUUUGACUUACCACAGCUGAAUCAGGACAGGUUAAUCAAUUAAAUACUCCCAAGGAAAUAGAAGUGGACAUAGAAAACCUCCCAUCCAAAAAAAUUCCAGGACCAAAUGGUUUCAGCGCAGAAUUCUACCAGACCUUCAAGAAAGAGCUAACUCCAGCUCUCUUUAAACUAUUCCACAAAACAGAAGAAACAUUACCAAACUCAUUCUAUGAAGCCACAGUCACCUUGGUACCUAAACCUUACAAGGAACCAACAGAGAAUGAGAAUUUCAAGCCAAUCUCCCUUAUUAACAUUGAUGCUAAAAUACUCAACAAAAUAUUUGCAAACCGAAUCCAAGAACACAUCAAAGAUAUCAUCCAAUAUGACCAAGUAAGCUUCAUCCCAGGUAUGCAGGGGUGGUUCAAUAUAUGGAAAUCCAUCAAUAUAAUCCACCAUAUACACAAACUGAAAGAAAAAAAAACACAUGAUAGUCUCCCUAAAUGCUGAAAAAGCAUUUGACAAAAUCCAACAUCCAUUCAUGUUUAAAGUAUUGGAGAGAUCAGGGAUAUAAGGCACAUAUCUAAACAUAGUAAAGGCGAUAUAUAGCAAGCCUAUAGCCAACAUCAAACUAAACAGAGAAAAACGUAAAGAAAUCCCACUGAAAUCAGGCUCAAGACAAGGCUGCCCACUCUCUACAAAAUUCUUCAACAUAGCUCUGGAAGUCCUUGCUGCAGCAAUAAGACAGUUGACGGAGAUCAAGGGAUACAAUUUGGAAAGGAAGAAGUCAAAUUAUCACUAUUUGCAGAUGAUAUGAUAGUAUACAUGAGUGACCCCAAAAAUUUUACUAGGGAACUCCUACAGCUGAGAAACACCUUCAGCAAAGUGGCCAGAAACAAAUUUAACUGAAAAGAAUCAGUAGGCCUCCUGUAUACAAAAGACAAAAGGGCUGAGAAAGAAAUUAGGGAAACAACACCCUUCACAAUAGCCACAAAUGACAUAAAGUACCUUGGUGUAACCGUAACCAAGCUAGUCAAAGACUAGUAUGGAAAAACAAAACAAAACAAAACAAAACAAAAAAAAACUUUCAAGUCUCUGAAGAAAGAAAUAGAACAUAUUAGAAGAUGCCCAUGCUCAUGGCUUGGCAGGAUUUACAUCCUCAAAAUGGCCAUCUUACCAAAACCAAUCUAUAGAUUCAAUGAAAUCCCCAUCAAAUUACCAACACAAUUCUUUACAGAACUGGAAAGAAAAAAUUCUUAACAUCAUUUGGAAUAACAAGGAACUAAGAAUUGCUAAAACAAUCCUCUACAAUAAAAGAUCUUCUCUACUCUCUCCAUCCCUGCUCUAAGCUGUACUAUAGAGCAACAGUACUAAAAACUGCAUGGUACUGGCAUAGAAACAAAAUGGUUGAUAAAUGGAACCAAAUAGAAGACCCAGAAAUAAACCCACAAACCUAUGGACACCUGAUCUUUGACAAAGAUGUGAACACCAUACAAUGGAAAUAAAGAUAACAUCUUCAACAAAUGGUGCUGGACUAACUGGAUGUCUACAUGUAGAAAAAUGCAAAUAGAUCCAUACUUAACACCCUGCACAAGACUAAAGUUCAAAUGGAUCAAAUUCUUCAACAUAAAACCAGACACACUAAAUUGGUUAGAAGAAAAAUUGGGGAAGACCCUAGAACUCAUUGGUACAGGAGAGAACUUACUGAACAGAAAAUCAAUAGCUCUAAGAGAAACAAUCAGUAAAUGGGACAUCAUGAAACUGAAAAUCUUUUGUAAAGCAAAUGUCAGCAUCAUCAAAGCAAAAUGAAUGCCUACAGAUUGGAAAAGAAUGUUCACCAACCCUUUAUCUGACAGAGGGCUAAUAUCCAGUAUAUAUAAAGAACUAAAGAAGCUGAGAAGCAAUAAAAAAAAAGUAAUCCAAUUAAAAAAUGGGGAUCAGAGCUAAACAGAGGAUUCUCUGUAGAGGAAAAACUCAAGUGACAACACAUGCUGGAAAGGUUGUUGAGAAAGUGUAACCCUCCUCCAUUGAUGGUGGGAUUUUCCUAAACUAGUACAAUCUCUUCGGAAGUCAAUCUGGCACUUUCUCAAACAAUUACGAAUAGUGCUUCCUCAAUACCCAGCUAUACCACUGCUGGGUAUAUAUCCAAAAUUUGCUCAAGUACACAACAAGGACCUUUGCUCAUCCAUGUUUGUAGCAGCUUUAUUUGUAAUAGUUAGAACCUGGAAACAACCCAGAUGUUCAUCAAUGGAGGAAUGGAUACAGAAAUUGUGGUAUUUUUACACAAUGGAAUACUACUCAGCAAUCAAAAAGGAGGAAAUCAUCAAAUUUGCAGGCAAAUGGUGGGAUCUAGAAAAGAUCAUUCUGAGUGAAAUAUCCCAGAUGGAGAAAGACAAACACGAUGUGGAGGAAAAAAGACCUGAAGAAAAGAUGGCCCCACAUAACUUCAUUGUUCCACAAGGGUUCUGUGACCCAACAUGACAAAAUGAGCACUGCCCAGGCAUUGGAGAAGCAAGGAAAAAUAUUCGGAAAAAAAUGGUUGCUAUUUGCAAGGAUGGCAUUCUGCCCAGUGAAAUUGUGGUGGGUCUCACAAGGUUCUUUUCUGGCUGUCCUAAGGAUAAGAGCUGCUUCUUAAAUACCCCCUCCCUAGCCUUCAAUUCUGUCCUCAAGUUGAGAAACUAUUGUGAUUCAAAGGGAUGGCUUCAGAAUAGGUAGGUAAAAGAGGGCUAUUCACCUAAAACAGGUAUUGGGAAUGGUGGGUAUAUUCACUUUACUAUGGUGGAAAACAUGAUAAGAAAAUGUUUCCUGGGGUUUCAAUUAUCAUUAAGGCGGUAUGAGAACAAGAUAUGGGGGCAGCCAAGCAGUUCAAGGUCCUCUUCAUCCAUGCCAGCUUUUGCAUUGCACCUGUGAGCAGGGUUGGUAUGGUUCAUAAAAAGCAAAGAGUGACAUGUGCUGUAGAUGGAAUGACAGGUUCUUUCCUUUCAUCCACUCAGGACAUGCUGUCUGUCAUCAAGCAAAAAGAGCCAAACAUUGGGGGUGUUUUUAUAUUAUCAGCAAACAUUACUUCUUGCCAUGUUUUGAAAGACAAACUAGACUGUGGGUAGCAUGUAAAUCUAAACAACGAAGGUGUUCAUCAUGUCACUUCUGUCCUAAAGGUAGGGAGAUUCCUAGUGUCAUCUAUUCUGAAGAUUCCUCUAGAGCUCUGUUAAGUAGUUUCUUCAUAAUGCAUUUCCUGAGUGACAGUAGAUACCACUGUUAGAAAUCUGGUAACCUCAAAGGUUCCCCUGAUAUUCACAACAGAAGGAAUAAGGAUUCCAGCACAAAUCAUCCAUCAUAAACUGUAAUGUAAUGAAGACUAUUCCAUCCUCCUCAUGGGACACAUGAGCACUCAUGGGACACAUUGCUACACCCACUCCAGCAUCUUCAGUGUAGCAUAUAAAUAGAUUUUGCUACUACGGGAGAGAUACGCUUUCUUUGGAAAUAGGCUCCCUGGAGGUCCCUAGCAAGUGUCUCCCAGACAACCUAAGCUAUAAAGGGGCAUUCUGAGAUUCCUACACUUUCUUGGUUGUGGUUGUGGGGUUGGAUUAAUGAGUCUUUUGAUCUUUCUCUAUAAUUCUUGGAACAGCACAAUUAAUUAUUCAAGGAAACAUAUUUUUGAUAGAUUACUAAAAGCUUUAACAAGAACAGAAUGGAAGAAAAAUUAUUUUAGAAGUACUGAAUGAGAUUUAGUAUUAAAAACAUUACAAGAAUAGUGAAAAAUAAUCUCCUUCUUAGGUAAAGAUAGCAUGAGAAAGUACAGCUGGCUAGAGCAUGCCUCCCUUUGGCCUCCUGUUUUUAAGGAAGAUUAUAAAUCUUUAGCAAGGCAUAAUGGAGAAUAGUUAACAAAGGUGUAUUUAGACUUUAAUGCAGAGAAAGAUUUUGGCAGAUAUCUGACUUAACUCCUGACUUUCCUCUUCACUGGUUAGCAAUAAUGAAACUGCAGUGUGACGUGUUUUUUUUUUUUUUUUUUUUUUUUUUUUUUUGUCCCUUGUUUGCUUUGAUCAGAAAGUCAAAAAGUUCUCAGGCCAAGAUUUCUUGUGGGCACUGCUUUAUGUUUGGUGUUUGAGUUAAAAUGUAAACUUUGUAUUCUUGGUAAAAAUCUAACUGUUCUGGGAAGCAUGCCAACUUUAAGGUGUUUCCUUAUGUAAUUACUAUAAAAUUAUUAGCCUGACUUCAGUAAAAUCGCAGCAGAAUCAAA